UACGGAGGGAGCUAGCGUUGCUCGGAAUGACUGGGCGUAAAGGGCGCGUAGGCGGAUGGCUUAGUCAGGCGUGAAAGUCCUGGGCUUAACCUGGGGACGGCGCUUGAGACGGGUUGUCUAGAGUGGGGAAGAGGGCCGUGGAAUUCCCAGUGUAGAGGUGAAAUUCGUAGAUAUUGGGAAGAACACCGGUGGCGAAGGCGGCGGCCUGGUCCUUUUACUGACGCUGAGGCGCGAAAGCGUGGGGAGCAAACAGG
rnacentral:rRNA from 1 species